rnacentral:rRNA from 1 species
UUUCUCAAUCCCCAAUGCUUGGCUUCCAUAAGCAGAUGGAUAACCGCAUCAAGCUCUUGGAAGAGAUUCUGUCUUUUCGUAUGCAGGGCGUUGAGUUCGAUAAUGGUGAUAUGUAUGUUGACGGCCAUAAGGCUGCUUCUGACGUUCGUGAUGAGUUUGUAUCUGUUACUGAGAAGUUAAUGGAUGAAUUGGCACAAUGCUACAAUGUGCUCCCCCAACUUGAUAUUAAUAACACUAUAGACCACCGCCCCGAAGGGGACGAAAAAUGGUUUUUAGAGAACGAGAAGACGGUUACGCAGUUUUGCCGCAAGCUGGCUGCUGAACGCCCUCUUAAGGAUAUUCGCGAUGAGUA